GAAAUGCGAUAAGUAGUGUGAAUUGCAGAAUUCAGUGAAUCAUCGAAUCUUUGAACGCACAUUGCGCCCCUUGGUAUUCCAUGGGGCAUGCCUGUUCGAGCGUCAUUUGUACCCUCAAGCUCUUCUUGGUGUUGGGUGUUUGUCCCGUCUCCGCGCGUGGACUCGCCCCAAAGUGAUUGGCAGCCGGCGUACUGGUCCCGGAGCGCAGCACAUGUCGCGCAAACGAGUGCCUUGGUACGGCGGCGUCCAUAAGCCCCUCUCUCACGCUCUUGACCUCGGAUCAGGUAGGGAUACCCGCUGAACUUAAGC
rnacentral:misc_RNA from 1 species